rnacentral:rRNA from 1 species
GCAUAUCAAUAAGCGGAGGAAAAGAAACCAACAGGGAUUGCCCUAGUAACGGCGAGUGAAGCGGCAACAGCUCAAAUUUGAAAUCUGGCGCAAGCCCGAGUUGUAAUUUGUAGAGGAUGUUUCUGGCGACGUGCCUUCCGAGUUCCCUGGAACGGGACGCCAUAGAGGGUGAGAGCCCCGUACGGUUGGAUGCCUAGCCUCUGUGAAACUCCUUCGACGAGUCGAGUAGUUUGGGAAUGCUGCUCUAAAUGGGAGGUAUACGUCUUCUAAAGCUAAAUACCGGCCAGAGACCGAUAGCGCACAAGUAGAGUGAUCGAAAGAUGAAAAGCACUUUGAAAAGAGGGUUAAAAAGUACGUGAAAUUGUUGAAAGGGAAGCGUUCAUGACCAGACUUGGGCAGGUUGAUCAUCCGUGGUUCUCCGCGGUGCACUCUGCCUGCCCAGGCCAGCAUCAGUUCGCCCCGGGGGAUAAAGGCUUUGGGAAUGUGGCUCCUCCGGGAGUGUUAUAGCCCGCUGCGUAAUACCCUGGGGCGGACUGAGGUUCGCGCUCUGCAAGGAUGCUGGCGUAAUGGUCAUCAACGACCCGUCUUGAAACACGGACCAAGGAGUCGUCUUCGUAUGCGAGUGUUCGGGUGUCAAACCCCUACGCGUAAUGAAAGUGAACGUAGGAGAGAGCUUCGGCGCAUCUCCGACCGAUCCUGAUGUUCUCGGAUGGAUUUGAGUAAGAGCAUACGGGGCCGGACCCGAAAGAAGGUGAACUAUGCCUGUAUAGGGUGAAGCCAGAGGAAACUCUGGUGGAGGCUCGCAGCGGUUCUGACGUGCAAAUCGAUCGUCAAAUAUGGGCAUGGGGGCGAAAGACUAAUCGAACCUUCUAGUAGCUGGUUUCCGCCGAAGU